UCUUGGUGGUUUUUAGUGAUUCUUGUUGAAGUGCGUGAGGAAAGUGUGGUCAUGUUCUAGGGUUGAUAAAUCUUUUGUCAACCUUGGAAAAUAUCAUCAAUUUCCUUUCAAAUUCUACGUUUUUGUUCUUUUGAGUUACAUAAUGGUGGGACUGAUUUGUCUUUAUUAUUUCUUAAAUUGUACCCAUCUUCAGAGAACAAGUUUCUUGUGCCUUUUGGGGCCUCAUGAUCGAGUCAAUUUGUUACUUUGUGGGGAUCUCUGAUGUCGCGUUGUCUAUAGUGUGGUGCCAUUCAAAGGUCAUCCGAAUGGGAAAAGCUCCUAAGUAGAGGUUCGGGUGCAGUUUUUAUCGGGAGGUACAACUCCCAAGGUCUCCGCAAAAGGCCCUCAAGGAGGACCCAAAUUCUUCCUAGACACUGCCUUGGCAGUGUCUACCUACGCCUCGCAAACGACGACCAGUAGGUGUCACGCCCCAUCGAUGGGUGGGAGUCGUUCCUACUUAUUCUGGGAGACAAAUCAACCAAUUCCAAACCUCCUACCAAUGAAGUCCAGAAGAACGGUCGUCGAUGGUCUUCAGGGGGCAUAGGUUGCUCCGUCGAUGCAACCUACAACUCCACUGCCAGGUGCACUGUUUCAUUAAGGGGUGAAAUGGGAAAUUCACCCCACGUUCUAACCUGAUCCUAGGAAUUUAUUUUAUGGGUUUUUGGGUAUAUUAAGUUGGUUAUUAUGAUCAAAACCCCAUUCCCAACUCAAUUCCCUUCCCACAACAAAAACCUCUCUAGAAACCUCCAUUGGAGAUGAAGCUCAAGAACUGCUUGUAUAUUGGACUGUGAUGGUUUCUUCAUAAAUUUUUCAUGGUUUCUUAUAUAAUGAGGUAUGGUGAUACUUUAUCCUUA